GUGGAUUAGAUACCCUGGUAGUCCACGCCGUAAACGAUGGAUACUAGCUGUUGGGGGCAACUUCAGUGGCUAAGCGAAAGUGAUAAGUAUCCCACCUGGGGAGUACGUUCGCAAGAAUGAAACUCAAAGGAAUUGACGGGGGCCCGCACAAGCGGUGGAGCAUGUGGUUUAAUUCGAUGAUACGCGAGGAACCUUACCAAGGCUUAAAUGUAGAUUGACAGAUUUGGAAACAGAUUUUUCUUCGGACAAUUUACAAGGUGCUGCAC
rnacentral:rRNA from 1 species